CAGGGUCUUUGACUCUUCAACCCACUGUGCUCUAAUGCAAAUUACUGCUGCGGCGGGCCGCUCGCUGGGGGAGCUUCGGCCUGAAAAGGUGGCCCGCCAAAGCGACAACAGACUCUUUUUUUCGAGUUACAAAAGAAACUUUCAAAGAAUCA
rnacentral:misc_RNA from 1 species